ACAUACGACCAUACCCACUGGAAAACUCGGGAUCCCGUCCGCUCUCCCAUAGAUAAGCCAGUGAGGGCUGGAGUAGUAGUCGGGUCGGUGACGACCGGCGAAUGCCCGGUGUUGUAUGUU
rnacentral:rRNA from 2 species